GUAGGCGAUAGAAAUUUAUGCCUUGGUGCAAUAGAUACAGUACCAUAAGGGAAAGAUGAAAGAACUAAAUUAAGCACUAAAAAGCAAAGAUAAAGUCUUUUACCUUCUGCAUAAUGUACUAGCUAGAAAUAACUUGACACACAGAACCAUAGCCAAGUCUCCCGAAACCAGACGAGCUACUCAGGAACAGCUGAAAGAGCACACCCACCUGUGUGGCAAAAUAGUGGGAAAAUUCAUGAGUAGCGGUGACAAGCCUACGGAGCCUGGUGAUAGCUGGUUGUCCAAGAUAGAAUCUUAGUUCAACUUUAAACUUACCCACAGAAUUACUUAACCUCCCUGUAAGUCUGUUAGUCUAAAGAGGGACAGCUCUUUAGACCCUAGGGAAUAACUUUUCUGUAGAAAGUAAAAAAUAUUACCCCCAUAGUUGACCCAAAAACAGCCACCAAUUAAGAAAGCAUUCAACCUCAACAUCUAAUUAUCUUAAAUUCUCAUCACUUUACUGAACUCCUAACAACACCUUGGACUAAUCUGUUAAUUAAUAGAAGCAAUAAUGUUUACAUAAGUAACGUGAAAAUAUUCUCCAUUGCAUAAGCUUAUAUCAGACUGGAAUAACCCACUGACAACUAACAGCCUAAUAUUAAUAAGCAAUAUAACAAGCACCUUAUUAUUUAUUCUGUUAAUCCAACACAGGCAUGCUCUAAGGAAAGAUUACAAAAAGUAAAAGGAACUCUGCAAAUCUUACUCGGUCUGUUUACCAAAAAUAUCACCUCUAGCAUUUCCAGUAUUAGAGGUACUGCCUGCCCACUGACAUAUGUUCAACGGCCACGGUAUCCUGACCGUGCAAAGGUAGCAUAAUCACUUGUUCCCUAAAUAGGGACUUUUACGAAUGGCCACACGAGGGUUCAGCUGUCUUUUACUUGUAAUCAGUGAAAUUGACCUAUCUGUGAAGAGGUGGGUAUAAACAAAUAAGAAAAGAAGACCCUAUUGAGCUUUAACUCAUUAAUGCAAAUAAAACUUCAAAAAGCCUACAGGCCUUAGCAUACUGUCUGUGCAUUAAAAUUUUGGUUGGGGUGACCUCGGAGUAUAUUCAACCUCCAAACAGCCUAGACUAAGACCGCACUAGUGUAAGCGAGCUGACACACAUUGAUUCAAUAAUUUGAUCAACAGAAGAAGUUACCCUAGGGAUAACAGCACAAUCCUUUUCUAGAGUCCAUAUAGACAAUAGGGUUUACAACCUCAAUGUUGGAUCAGGCCAUCCUAAUGGCGUAGCUACUAUUAAGGGUUCAUUUGUUCAAUGAUUAAAGUCCUACGUGAUCUGAGUUCAGACCGGAGUAAUCCAGGUCAGUUUCUAUCUAUUUAACAUUUCUCCUAGUA
rnacentral:rRNA from 1 species